UUCCAGAUGCAGUUUCUGUUGCUUGCAAAAAUGAGCUCUGACUACUGUAAGUAGGAAGGAGAUGGACAGGAACUGAGAAGACAUCUCAAGGACACUCCAUAGGAAAGCUAAACUGCAAUGAGAUAAGCUACACUAUUUCAAGACCUUGGAUUAGACUCAAGUAUCUUGGUAAGGUCUAUGUAUCUCCUUCUCUUUCUCUACCCUAUUCACUGCUGAGGUAAGUCCUGUUUGUUGCCUAUCCAAUAUCCAUUCUUCCCUUCAUUCUUAGUAACAGAGCUCUGAUUUAAUUGGGGUCACGGGAAUCAUGAGCUAAGGUGAAAGGCCACAUUUCUAAGAGUCCCUUGCAGCUGGAUAUGGUUAAAUGACUCAAUUGCAUUCAAUUACAUGAAAUAAUAAAUUGUUGAAUGGCACUUCCCAGAAAAUUCCCCAACAAGUAGCUGGAUGAGCCAUCCUGGCCUUUUCCAACAUUUCCUGUCAUCACCUUCCUUUUACUUGCCAACUGGGAUUCAGACAAGAUGUCUAGAUCAUAGCAGACAUCCUUAACUACAAGGCAGAUGUGAGGAUGAAAGCCAGCAUAUUUUGUCAGGAUGGAAGCCAGAGACAAGGA